AGUAAUGUCUGGGAAACUGCCUGAUGGAGGGGGAUAACUGCUGGAAACGGUAGCUAAUACCGCAUAGCGUCGCAAGACCAAAGAGGGGGACCUUCGGGCCUCUUGCCAUCGGAUGUGCCCAGAUGGGAUUAGCUAGUAGGUGGGGUAACGGCUCACCUAGGCGACGAUCCCUAGCUGGUCUGAGAGGAUGACCAGCCACACUGGAACUGAGACACGGUCCAG
rnacentral:rRNA from 1 species